rnacentral:rRNA from 1 species
AUUGAACGCUGGCGGUAUGCUUAACACAUGCAAGUCGAACGGUAACAGCAGAGCUUGCUCUGGCUGACGAGUGGCGGACGGGUGAGUAGUACGUAGGAAUCUAUCCUUUAGUUGGGGAUAAGCCGGUGAAAACCGAGCUAAUACCGAAUAAGCUUUACGAAGGAAAGAGGGGGAUCUUUUGACCUCUCGCUGAAGGGUGAGCCUACGCCGGAUUAGCUUGUUGGUGAGGUAAAUGCUCACCAAGGCGAAGAUCAGUAGCUGGUCUGAGAGGACGACCGGCCACACUGGGACUGAGACACGGCCCAGACUUCUACGGGAGGCAGCAGUGGGGUAUAUUGGACAAUGGACGAAAGUCUGAUCCAGCAACGCCUCGUGAGGGAUGAAGGCCUUAGGGUCGUAAACCUCUUUUGACAGGGAAGAUAAUGACGGUACCUGUAGAAUAAGCAUCGGCUAACUUCGUGCCAGCAGCCGCAGUAAC